rnacentral:lncRNA from 1 species
CUUCUGAGGACAGAGCUUAACCUGAGAGGUGACUCGACCAUAGUCGAGUUUCAGCAGGGCCUAGACAAGGGCGAGGUGAGUGGGGUGCCCAGGGCGUGCAAAAUUUGAGGGAGCUGCUCCCUCUCGGGGUCGAGUCUGCACUUGCACGCUCCCAGAGGGAGUGCCUCUCUCAACUUUGCUCCCUGGGAGCCCCGCUCUCCUUACCCUGGUCUGGGCCAGAUUUCAGCCAAGGCAGCAGGAGAGAGAACGUGCCUGGGAACGGGAGGCCGCUCCCGGAACCCUUCUAGUCAGGAGGUCAACUGCACCCAGAAAGGCAGACCGGGUGAGGACGGGCCCCAGGGGCUGGCUUGACUAGGCAGCACGUGGCCCCCGUGGGAAGUUCCAGGCACGUCCUGAGGCUUCCUGUCCAGCGUCCCUUCAUGCAACACCUAGUGCCGGACCAGGCUGGGCACUUGCUGUUCCGUCCAGCUCUCUUUGCACAGUCCAGGACAGACCUGAAAAAGUUCCUGUUUCAGACCCCCGAUCUGUAGGAUGCCAAUGAAACAUCUUCAGAAAGCUACCUGAUGGGGUGGAAAUAACUCUACCACUUACUGGCUAUGUGACCUUGUGCGAGUCACUUACCCUCUCUGAGCCUCCGUUGACUCAUCUGUGAAAGGGGCUCAUCACAGUGCUGCCUCCUUGGGGUUGUGAUGACGAAAUGAGAUGGUGUGUUAAGCCCUACUACGAAGCCUAGCGGUAGGGCUCACCAGGGAGCGCCCACCCCCAUCUGGCAAACGCACCAAGAUACAUCUUCAGUUUUAAGACAUCCCAGGGAGGGCAAUGCUCACCCACGGAACGACUGGGUAAAGGUGGCCUUUCAGGCCCACCAUGGGCAGUGGUCACUUACGCUGGUCCCUGAAGUGACAGGCGGGGGAAGACGGAGGAGAUGGGCCUUUUGCUCUGUGCCCACCAGGUGCCAGGGACAAGCCACAGUCCUGUGGAAGCCUCGCCAGUCCCGGGGGUCGAUGGUCCUCCCCAGACACAGGAGUUCGCUGGUGCAGGAGCACAAAGCAAAAGGGAGGCAGACGCUGAAUUUGAACCCACGCCGCUCCAUCUGCAUGCCAAAUUAUUUGCUGUUUACCAUCCCCUCCAUUUUUCAUAAAAAAAUCCCCAGAAGCGCUUUUAUCUGCAGAGAGAGGCAAAGAAUA